GCUAGCUGUCUGCUAGCUGUCUGCUAGCUGUCUGCUAGCUGUCUGCUAGCUGUCUGCUAGCUGUCUGCUAGCUGUCUGCUAGCUGUCUGCUAGCUGUCUGCGUUAUCCUAGCUCACCUGGUUUAGGAAGAGCACAUUACUGGCUAUAGGUGGAGCUACCGGGUAAUUGAAAUGGAGGCCUGGGGGAAAAAAAGGAUCAAUGAUGAGCAAGAGCUGACCAGAGGAGGCGGAGCCUUCCAUUUAAAAGCAGCUCCGGAAGUCCCUGGGGGGUGGAAGGAAAGAAAGAGAGAGCUUGUUGUUUGCUUGUUGUUUGCUAGCUUUCUUGGUUAUCCUAGCUCACCUGGUUUAGGAACAGGAUCAUUACAGCCUGCACCCCAAAGGUCAACUGCUGCUGAAUGUAUGUGAGCACACAAAAUUGCUAAUCAUUCCAUAUCCCUGUAUCUAAAUCAAACACACAAAUACACACAUGCACACAACAAGCACACUCCAUUUAAGGCCGUGUCAAGAGUUAACACAAUUACAUGUGGGCUAAUGGAAUCUAGGCCUGCCUGAGACAAAUGUGACUUCAUUAUUGCAAGUCAUGAGAGACUGUCAGAGCAGAUCACUGAUGAAGAAAUGUGGCUUUCCUCUUUUCUCGCUCUCUUGCCAUCUGCUGUGGCCUUGGGAUAGAAUCAGAAAGAAAAUAUAAAAAGUAAGAAAAUGACUUAAUAAUA